CGGAGCCGCCGGGGUGCUCGGGGCCGCCCUUCUCCCGCGAAUGUUCCUCUGCCGAGCGCAACUAGGGGCACUCGGUCAGAGCCGGAGCUCUGCAGCCCAGCCGCUGUGUGCAGCCCUGGCGAGAUCUCCAGGUUAGCGGCAGACGCGUAGCGUUCAUGUAGGAUCCGGGGCAGCUCCGGCGUGCGGGCUGAGAGAUGCCCUGGUUGGGUAGGUUUUGGCCAAGCCAUUACUGCUAAGAUACAGACCCGAAGGGCAGCGGCAACCAAACGCCAGCUAGAACUGGUUUUUCCCUCUGCGUCCCCCUUCCAAGGUUCCUUUUUAUAUUUAUGUAUGCGUAUAUGUAUAGAUGAAAGAUGGAACACAGAUUUCAUUGAAUAAAUCCGAGAUCUCCAGGUGCAGACGUUUGAGUCGUCGGUGCCAGCACCCCGUGUUUUCCUUUCCUGCCGACUUUGCUUGGAUCCGGCUCAAAAACCGGGAGAGUCUCGUGGUUUUGUUUACACUGAAUGGGGAGGAUAGGAACAGAGCCAUGGGGCCCUUUCAUUAAUAUACAGUGAGGAUUUUGUCUAAAUUACUGCUAUGAAUUUCACAGUACACGCUUUCAAAAACAGCCUCAGGUGGCCUGGUGAAACGUGAUACAGCGCCUCUGUAGACACAUUCACUUUCUUUCUUUCUUUUCAGGGAGGGUGUGUGCGCGUCCGGGAAGCCCCCCAAAACGCCGUGCUCCUCGAAAUCAGAAAUAUCCUUCUGUUCCGAGGUCUGUCCCCUUCGUCCUCCCCCUCCGCGUACUUAGUUCUGCACUCGCUCCCCAGCCCCACCCAUCCGCCCCCUCCCUUUGCCGACUGUGAUUGUUUUGUCUGGAAAAAAAAAUCCAAAGUAUAUAACAAGGGGAGAACAGUUAGUGCUGAUUUUCAUUUGCAUACAUUUUCAUAUAUUUUGGUGAAAAUAAUAGACCAGCGGAGAGCUAGGCUUCGAGGAGUCAGUGUAAGGGGAAGACUAAGGCGGCCGCGUUCUGGUUCUGGGGAGUUGAGACCAUGCCUUCCCCCUCAGUCAUCUUAUUUAAAAAAACAAUAAAACAUCAUUUAUUUUAAAGUAUAACCCUGGAAGUUUGCUCGUGCCUUUCAGGUCUUAAUCAAAGAACAUCUUUGUGAUCAGACUAAUCAGCAAUUAAUGGAUAAAGAAGCUACAACUCAGACAAGACAGGUGAGGAAACUGACAACUCAGAGAAGAUACUGACUGUCCUGCGGCCGCUCCCACCGAGCUGGGCCAUAUCAUUUUCAAAGCUCGCUGUUGGGGUGGGAGCCACCGAAGCUGAAAUGGCCUGAAAGUGGAAACUUUUCUUGGGAGUUGAAUAGUCAGUGGAAUAUUCAUAGAAACGUAACAUGACACAGGAUGCUGAGCCGGUGUCUAAACUUUGUUCCAAACCAUAUUUGCUGUUUGUAAAACUGGCCCCUCAGGGACCAGAUGGGGAUAAGGAAUUCUACUCAUCUGUAGUUAAUCUAAGAAUUAACAUUUAGCAAAUUACUGCCUCAGUGCCUGAAAUGAGGUAUGUGUCUGGUGGCUCCAUUGAUUAGAACCCUGUGCUAAUGAGGUCACCAGCAGGAGUCUGCAACUCACCAGGUGACCGGAGCUGAGUUCUGGGCUGUCACUGGCCUCCGUGCUGACUAGGACAGAGGAGCCCCAGGGAGCCCCUGAGAGCACACUUGGGCCCCGCAGGAUACUGAGCUCAUCGCCACCUCACACUUAGAUGACGGGGAAGCCUUGCCUUCUUGGCGCACAGGACCCUGAGAACAGGGACUGUAUGAAGAACAUUCAGAAGUGGGGUCCUAGUCUUUACCAUCGCCCAUCGCCCAGAUGAGGAGACAGCCUCGGAGAAGUGGAAGACGCUCGGCAAAGCCACCUCCCUGUGCGCAGUUCCUGGGACCUUUGUCUCUGUUCUGGUGACCUUUCCGUGAGCCCAGGGACAGUGAUGGCCACAGUGACCUCAGGGAGUUGCUUGGGCUCUUUUCCUUGGCUCCCGGGGGCUCCUGCUGCAGGGAACAGGAAGGAGCCUGUGGGUGGUCAGGGGGUUCCUAUUACUCUGUGGGGCAGCCAGGCCCCCGAUCUGUGUCUUCCCACCAGGUAGACAGGCUCAGCCCCCGAUCUCACUCUCUGACCACCGAGUAUCCACAUCUCGGACCUCACCAGGGCUCCCACAUCUUGAGACUUGGGAGCAGCCAGGGAGAUCAAUGGACGGUCCAGCUUCCUCCUCCUGUCCCAACACUUAACAAUGUGGGCUGUGAUGACUGUGGACAUGCUGCUUCUACAAAUUAGCAUCUGGGUCCUCUGUCCUCCUGGAGUCCUUGCCUGUUCCCCUCCUGCUCCUUGAACUUGUCUCCCAGGGAGUUGGCAAUGAUGGCUAGGACCACCCCUGUUGUCUGAGGUCCAUCUGGGUGCACCCGCUUUUGGGGGGACACACAUGUGGCACUCAGACAGGCUCGUGUAGCUCUCUGGCCACCUUGGGUUCCACACUUCCUGGCAGGAUCCCACUGGGAACUCUUUGGGGCCAAACUUUUCUUUUGCAACUUAAUCAUCGGCACGUGGGCUACAGCGCUCCCUGCCUGAGCCUGACUGGAUGGAACUCAUCAGCUCUGAGUUCCAGCUCUGGAGAAUGGCAGCUGCUGGAAGAGAACAACUGCAUGUGAAGGGUGAGUGCUCCAGAUCCCUGCUGCCAGGGGGUGUUUCUCAGGGGACAGUGGAAGACGAGGGACAUGAGGGCCUGGAUAGAGCUGGAAUCCAGAGUUGUCAGGACCCGGCCUCUAAGAGGAAGGGCUGAAAUCAUGUUGACAUUAAGGCUUUUCUCCAGUCCUAGGGUUUGGCAAACAAAGGCCCACAGGGGGCAUCUGACCUGUUGCCUCUUUUUGUAAGUUAAGAUUUAUGGGACCACAGCCACGCCCACCUGUGCAUAUGUGGUCUGCUGCUGCCUUUGCACUGCAGCGUGGAGCAGCAGUGACAGAAUGUACCAUCCAAGAGGCCAAAGAGGUUGACUCUUGGGUUCUUUACAGAACAAGUUUGCUGACUCUUGAUAUAAGCCAUCCAGUGAAUGCGCUGAGUGUCUGCUAAAUAUCUACUCCACGCUGAGACACAUGUGCGCAGGGAUGCUCAGAGUGGCCCUCAUUGGAUGGGAGGCUGAUGGUCUUUAGUAACUUGCUUGUGUCACAGGUGUCCAGGACAGGUGUGUAGGUAUCAGGGAGUAAGAAGGAUUUGGUGGAAGAAGUCGUGGUUUGAGAAAAUGUUCUGCCGUGAUUGUCUUGGUGGCAAGUCGUGGAUCAUGGCUGGGCUCUUCCUUUGUCCGCUACCGGGAGGAGAUGCUGACACAGCUGGAACUUCUGUCUUGGGGUGCACCUUUAUUAACUACUUCAAGACCUACAGCCAAUAUGUGGACUUCUGGUUCCAGGCCAAAAGAUGGGCACCUUCUUCCACCAGUUGGUGGUUGGGUGGGUCAAGCAAGAGGAUGUGAAUCUAAGUGUUUUCUGGGCCACAAGGUGCUGUGUUUGUGGCCUAGACAUUAUCUAUAAAAACAUUAGGAUGAGUGUUGUCUCUUUUGGCACAUGAGGACAUGCAGCCCAUCCAAUAUCAAAGAGCAAAGCCAGUGGCAGAACAGGAAGCUCAGUCUCUUGGUUUCAGUCGCUGCUCUUUCCAGGGCACUGUGUGAUUCUGUAAGUCAUGCUUCUUUCCACGGCAUCAGGAAUGCUCAGUUCUUUAGUCCACAUGUUCCUUCCUUCCUUCACUCACUAGUCAACACUAUCUAAGAGCCUGCUGUGAACUGGAAAAGGGGCUGAAUUUUUCAGGGAGAGCGAUGACUGUAUAAAGAGUUGGAAGACUCAGAAUAAUUUUGUUCUUGGACUCCUAAGGCUGCCGUCCUCCAGAAAUACAUAGAUUUCUCCCGUGCUGCCCAAGUGGUUGGUCCUUACCUGUGACACGAAGAAAGAGAGUAGGUGGUGUGGGGGAGGGGGAGUAAUCCUGUCACUCAACAAACUGUUGCCUGAGAUGUUGUUCUGGGUAGUGUGUGUGUGCGUGUGCGUGCACAUGUGUGCGCAUGCACGUACGUACCAAGAAAGAGGAUGAGAGAUACUGAAAUGUCACUAGCAGAUUGUACCAGCAGCUAAAGGAUGGAGACAAUCUAGGUUUGGAAGAUUUGAAAGUUAGGCUUUUGUACAGAAAGUCCAAGGGAAUCCACAUCAGAGACAUUUUCAAGUAUCAACUGUCAAAUUAAUCGAGUCUAUUAAACCUGCCAGCUGUGAUUUCCUUUACUAUACUGUUCCAGAUGGUCUUCGUUCAGAUUAUAUUCUUUCAAUGAUGUCUCUUGUAACUUUGGAAGUGAUGAUUAUCAAAUGUGCCCAGAGGAAGCAGCUUCCACCAGAAUACUGAACCUGCCGUGUCGUGAUAGGGGAAGGGGAAGUUCUUGAAAGUUUCCGUGUUUGACACUUGCCCAUUUCAUGGGGAAGUUUGCCAAUAUUUCCCUCUCACUCAGAGUCAAUGUCGUUGGCUACUUAAGCUCUUCAAAUUCUGUGAAACUGAAAGUCAUAUGAUUCCCUGAAACAAGGUACCAGUGAAGUGGCCUCCUAAAGACAAAACAAAACAAAACCUUCCAGAACCUUCCAUCAUACAGCUGUCACCAGCAAAGCCCUCUGGGAGGUACACUAGAAAAUUCUGCCUCGUUCUCUUCCUUCUCCUGCGUCAGUCAGUCACGACCCUGCGGACUGAAUCUGGAGGUGGUGGCAUCUGAUUCUGCGAGUCAGCUUUGGGUCCGUGCUACCUCUCCGAUAGGUCCAGGACCCAGGACACUGCUGUUGUAACAAACGUAAUUUGUUUCAGCACAAAACGUGUGUUCAUUGCAGGUCUUAACACAGAUACAGAUAACGCUUCUCAUCUCUAAGAAAUUUGUAAGCAUUAACUAAUUCAUUUAACUUUCUUUCAGUGAAGUGAGUUUUCUUCCGUUUGCUGUGGGAAAACCCUUCUUUUUCUGAUUCUAAUCCUUGAGCAGGUAUUCUACUGGAAAUGUUUUGUAGAGGGGAAAUAAAUCUUUCAACACAGCGUAAAAUUCCACUGAAACAGACGACUUCCAAUUCCUCAGCGUAUAAGCCGGUUUUUAAGCGAUUAAGCAACGCUCUGGGGAAAAAACUUAAAUCUCGCUGAAAACUGCGGGAACCCUUACUGUGUUGUUACCACCGCUGUCACCACCACGCCUGUGUGCAGAGUUCUUAAUGGUUCACAUCUACGACUUUGUGGGAGAACAGAGAGCUGGAGGAAGGGUUCCCGUGCUGUCUCCUCAGUGGAGAGUGCAAUCCAAGUGUAGGAUGUGACUAAGGAUCUAGAGAUGGCGAGAUUACUUUGGAUUAUCUGGGUAGGUCCUAAAUCUAACUGUAACUAUUCCUUUUUUCUUAGAUUUAAUUUUUAUUGAAGUGUGCUUGAUAUACAAUGUUAGUUUCA